UACGGAGGGUGCAAGCGUUGUUCGGAAUUAUUGGGCGUAAAGGGCACGUAGGCGGAUGUGUCAGUCAGGGGUGAAAUCCCGGAGCUCAACUUCGGAACUGCCCUUGAUACAGCACGUCUUGAGUCCGGAAGAGGUGGGUGGAAUUCCUAGUGUAGAGGUGAAAUUCGUAGAUAUUAGGAAGAACACCGGUGGCGAAGGCGGCCCACUGGUCCGGUACUGACGCUGAGGUGCGAAAGCGUGGGGAGCAAACAGG
rnacentral:rRNA from 1 species